rnacentral:rRNA from 1 species
ACGAACGCUGGCGGCGUGCCUAAUACAUGCAAGCAGAACGCUGAAGGAGGAGCUUGCUUCUCUGGAUGAGUUGCGAACGGGUGAGUAACGCGUAGGUAACCUGCCUGGUAGCGGGGGAUAACUAUUGGAAACGAUAGCUAAUACCGCAUAAUAGUAGAUGUUGCAUGACAUUUGCCUAAAAGGUGCAAUUGCAUCACUACCAGAUGGACCUGCGUUGUAUUAGCUAGUUGGUGGGGUAACGGCUCACCAAGGCGACGAUACAUAGCCGACCUGAGAGGGUGAUCGGCCACACUGGGACUGAGACACGGCCCAGACUCCUACGGGAGGCAGCAGUAGGGAAUCUUCGGCAAUGGACGGAAGUCUGACCGAGCAACGCCGCGGGAGUGAAGAAGGGUUUCGGAUCGUAAAGCUCUGUUGUAAGAGAAGAACGAGUGUGAGAGUGGAAAGUUCACACUGUGACGGUAUCUUACCAGAAAGGGACGGCUAACUACGUG